AAGCGCAUGCAGGUGGUUCAUUAAGUCAGAUGUGAAAGCCCGGGGCUCAACCUCGGAACCGCAUUUGAAACUGGUGAACUAGAGUGCUGUAGAGGGGGGGUAGAAUUUCAGGUGUAGCGGUGAAAUGCGUAGAGAUCUGAAGGAAUACCAGUGGCGAAGGCGGCCCCCUGGACAGACACUGACACUCAGAUGCGAAAGCGUGGGGAGCAAACAGGAUUAGAUACCCUGGUAGUCCACGCCGUAAACGAUGUCUACUUGGAGGUUGUUCCCUUGAGGAGUGGCUUUCGGAGCUAACGCGUUAAGUAGACCGCCUGGGGAGUACGGUCGCAAGAUUAAAACUCAAAUGAAUUGACGGGGGCCCGCACAAGCGGUGAAGCAUGUGGUUUAAUUCGAUGCAACGCGAAGAACCUUACCUACUCUUGACAUCCAGAGAAUUCGCUAGAGAUAGCUUAGUGCCUUCGGGAGCUCUGAGACAGGUGCUGCAUGGCUGUCGUCAGCUCGUGUUGUGAAAUGUUGGGUUAAGUCCCGCAACGAGCGCAACCCUUAUCCUUGUUUGCCAGCACGUAAUGGUGGGAACUCCAGGGAGACUGCCGGUGAUAAACCGGAGGAAGGUGGGGACGACGUCAAGUCAUCAUGACCCUUACGAGUAGGGCUACACACGUGCUACAAUGGCGCAUACAGAGGGCUGCAAGCUAGCGAUAGUGAGCGAAUCCCAAAAAGUGCGUCGUAGUCCGGAUUGGAGUCUGCAACUCGACUCCAUGAAGUCGGAAUCGCUAGUAAUCGUAGAUCAGAAUGCUACGGUGAAUACGUUCCCGGGCCUUGUACACACCGCCCGUCACACCAUGGGAGUGGGCUGCAAAAGAAGUGGGUAGUUUAACCUUCGGGAGGACGCU
rnacentral:rRNA from 1 species